rnacentral:rRNA from 1 species
AUCAGAUCCGAGCUCAAGCAAGGUUACCCGCUGAAUUUAAGCAUAUAAUUAAGCGGAGGAAAAGAAACCAACAGGGAUUCUCAGAGUAGUGGCGAACGAAAUGGGAUCAGCCCAAUAUGUGAAUCCAGUUUCGGCUGGAAUUGUGCAUAUGUUGGUGCCAACUCUAACUUCCAGAUAAGAUGUCAGGAAAGAUAUGCCAAAGACGGUGAUAGCCCGGUCUGUGCUGGAAGCUUAGAGUGUACGGUAUCAGCAAAAUGAGUCACGCUCUUUGGGAGUAGAGCGCAAAAUUGGUGGUAACCUCCAUCAACGGCUAAAUACUGACGAGAGAUCGAUAGCAAACAAGUACCGUGAGGGAAAGUUGAAAAGCACUUCGAAAGGAGAGUUAAAAUACCUGAAAUCGCUAAAAGGGAAGCGACUAUUUGUGAUCCGCUUGUCUGCUAGGCUCACAUUACAACACUGAUUGUAUGGUUUUGCUUAAUCGCUUUGCCAUAUGAGAAUGGUAAAUGUGAAUACCUUUCGACGAAGCUUGGCAACACUUCGUUGAUCUCUCAGUUGUGCGAAGCUUGCUUCAUACAUCACCUUAGAUCUUCGGAGUGACGUCAACCAUUUGCCGGUUGCCAACUAGUGACACAAAUAGGCGACCCGUCUUGAAACACGGACCAAGGAGUUAAACAUGUGUGCAAGUGUAAGAGUGAUAAACUCAUACGCGCAGUGAAAGCAAUAACGGUAAAUUCAAAUUCAACCGUGGCCGACUAUUAAGUUCGAGCUUGAGCAUAUUUGUUUAGACCCGAAAGAUGGUGACCUAUACCUGAGUUGGGUGAAGCCAGGGGAAACCCUGGUGGAAGCUCGUAGCGAUACUGACGUGCAAAUCGUUCGUCGAACUUGGGCAUAGGGGCGAAAGACUAAUCGAACCAUCUAGUAGCUGGUUCCCUCCGAAGUUUCCCUCAGGAUAGCUGGAAGUUUAACUCAGUUAAACCCGGUAAAGCUAAUGAUUAGAGGCCUCGGGGACAUUCUGUCCUCGACCUAUUCUCAAACUUUAAAUGGGUUUGUCUGUGAAGCUGAUUCACUUAGCCUCUCAGAUGAAUGAUACUUCUUAGUGGGCCAGUUUUGGUAAGCAGAACUGGCGAUGAGGGAUGCUCCUAACGUUUGGUUAAGGCGCUAAACACCCGCUGAUCAGAUACCAUAAAAGGUGUUGGUUCAUUGAAACAGCAGGGCGGUGGUCAUGGAAGUUGAAAUCCGCUAAGGAGUGUGUAACAACUCACCUGCCGAAUGGACCAGCCCUGAAAAUGGAUAGCGCUCAAGCGGGCGGCCGAUACCAAACCGUCAUAACAAUUAAAUGUUUUGCCGUGUAGGAGGGCGUGGGGGUUGCGACGAAGACUCAGUCGUGAGACUAGUUGGAGCAGCUUCUAGUGCAGAUCUUGGUGGUAGUAGCAAUUAAUCACAUGAGAACUGUGAUGACCGAAGUGGAUAAGGGUUCCGAAUGAACAGCAAUUGUCUUCGGGUUAGUCGGUCCUAAAGGAAAAGCUUGCUGCUUCAGAGUGAGGCUUUGCCUCUUGUCCUGAAAGGGAAAAAGGCUCAAAUUCCUUUACUAGUCAGCGAACUUGUGGUAACACAACUGAACUUGGGCUGCCAACGAGAACCCUGGGGAGCGUUAUCUGUGCUCUUUAACUGCGGGACUCCUUCGAAUCGGCUUGUCCGGAGAAAAGGAUGAAUGGCAGGUAUAGGCCUCAGCUUCUGCUAGGGCUCCGGUGCGUCCUCAUUGGUCUAUGAAACCCCAAGGGAUACUUAGUUCGCUUUCUAGCCGUACCCGAAACCGCAUCAGGUCUCCUAGGUUCGCAGCCUCUGGUCGAUAGAAUAAGGCGGAUGAGGGAAGUCGGCAAAUUAGAUCUGUACCUUUGGAAAAAGGAUUGGCUCUGAGGGCCGAGUGAGGAGAGCCUUGUGGUUGUUAGUGCGCUCGCCUAUUCUGGAGACUUGACUCGUUUGAGGCUUUGGAGAGGCAGGUGGCACUUUCGACUGCUUGGUAGAACUACUUCGGUGGUUUGUUCCUCCUCACAAAGACCGGCCAACUCAGAACUGGUGCGGACAAGAGGAAUCUGACUGUUUAAUUAAAACAAAGCAUUGCGAUAACCGGCAAUGGUUUUUACGCAAUGUGAUUUCUGCCCAGUGCUCUGAAUGUCAUUGCGGUGAGAUUCGCCUAAGCGCGGGUAAACGGCGGGAGUAACUAUGACUCUCUUAAGGUAGCCAAAUGCCUCGUCAUUUAAUUAGUGACGCGCAUGAAUGGAUCAACGAGAUUCCUACUGUCCCCAUCCGCCAUCUAGCGAAACCACAGCCAAGGGAACGGGCUUGGCAAAAUAAGCGGGGAAAGAAGACCCUGUUGAGCUUGACUCUAGUCUGAUUUUGUGGAGUGACUUGGGGGGUGUAGCAUACGUGGGAGCUUUUGCGCCAAUGAAAUACCACGACCUCCAAUGUCGCUCUACUUACUCUGUUAUAAAGAGCCACCUCUACGAGGUGUUCUAGAUUUAAGAUGAACUUGUUCGUUGAUCUUGGCAGAGGACAUAUUCAGAUGGGGAGUUUGGCUGGGGCGGCACAUCUGCUAAAUCACAACGCAGAUGCCCUAAGGUUGACUCAGAGAGAACAGAAAUCUCUCGUAGACUGAAAGGGGAAAAGUCAGCUUGAUUCUGAUUUCCAGUGCGAAUACGAACUGCGAAAGCAUGGCCUAUCGAUCCUUUAAGUCCAGAAAGGUUCUGGCUAGAGGUGACGGAAAAGUUACCACAGGGAUAACUGGCUUGUGGCAGCCAAGCGUUCAUAGCGACGUUGCUUUUUGAUCCUUCGAUGUCGGCUCUUCCUAUCAUUGAGAUGCAGAAGUCUCAAAAUGUCGGAUUGUUCACCCGCUAAUAGGGAACGUGAGCUGGGUUUAGACCGUCGUGAGACAGGUUAGUUUUACCCUACUUAUUAUGUGACGUUGUGACAGUAAGCCAACUUAGUACGAGAGGAACCGUUGGCUCAAGCCUCUGGUAACGCAGCUGGCCGAAAGACCAGUGCUGCAAAGCUACGCUUGAAGGAUAAUGACUGAACGCCUCUAAGUCAGAAUCCUAGCUGAAAAACAACGUCUUGACUGCCAGCAAAUGUUCACUGAAUACAUUAGAUUCGAUUGAUUAUAAGCUUCCUAGGCGACCAAAGCUUGGAAGUGCUUUAUAUAUAUUCGCUGGUGGUUAUCAGCAUCCCUAGAAGACGACUAGGACCCAUACAGGUGCUGUAAGCAUGAGAGUAAGCUUUGUCUUACGAUCUGCUGAGGCUUACUGUA